AGGAUAAACGCUGGCGGCGUGCAUGAGACAUGCAAGUCGAACGGACGAUCAGGGCUUGCUCUGAUCGUUAGUGGCGGACGGCUGAGUAACGCGUAGGUGACCUGCCCCGAAGUGGGGAAUAACUGCCCGAAAGGGUGGCUAAUACCGCAUGUGGUGGUGUGUUCAUUCACACCAGUAAAGCCGCAAGGCGCUUCGGGAGGGGCCUGCGUCCGAUUAGCUCGUUGGUGGGUAACGGCUCACCAAGGCGACGAUCGGUAGGUGGUCUGAGAGGACGAUCACCCAGACUGGGGACUGAGACACGGCCCAGACUCCUACGGGAGGCAGCAGUCGGGAAUUUUUGCGCAAUGGACGAAAGUCUGACGCAGCAACGCCGCGUGAGGGAUGAAGGCCUUCGGGUCGUAAACCUCUUUCAGCAGGGAAGAAGCUUUGGGUGACGGUACCUGCAGAAGAAGCACCGGCUAACUACGUGCCAGCAGCCGC
rnacentral:rRNA from 1 species